rnacentral:rRNA from 1 species
ACGCUGGCGGCGUGCCUAAUACAUGCAAGUAGAACGCUGAAGAGAGGAGCUUGCUCUUCUUGAAUGAGUUGCGAACGGGUGAGUAACGCGUAGGUAACCUGCCUUGUAGCGGGGGAUAACUAUUGGAAACGAUAGCUAAUACCGCAUAACAAUGGGUGACACAUGUCAUUUAUUUGAAAGGGGCAAUUGCUCCACUACAAGAUGGACCUGUGUUGUAUUAGCUAGUAGGUGAGGUAACGGCUCACCUAGGCGACGAUACAUAGCCGACCUGAGAGGGUGAUCGGCCACACUGGGACUGAGACACGGCCCAGACUCCUACGGGAGGCAGCAGUAGGGAAUCUUCGGCAAUGGGGGCAACCCUGACCGAGCAACGCCGCGUGAGUGAAGAAGGUUUUCGGAUCGUAAAGCUCUGUUGUAAGUCAAGAACGAGUGUGAGAGUGGAAAGUUCACACUGUGACGGUAGCUUACCAGAAAGGGACGGCUAACUACGUGCCAGCAGCCGCGGUAAUACGUAGGUCCCGAGCGUUGUCCGGAUUUAUUGGGCGUAAAGCGAGCGCAGGCGGUUUGAUAAGUCUGAAGUUAAAGGCUGUGGCUCAACCAUAGUUCGCUUUGGAAACUGUCAAACUUGAGUGCAGAAGGGGAGAGUGGAAUUCCAUGUGUAGCGGUGAAAUGCGUAGAUAUAUGGAGGAACACCGGUGGCGAAAGCGGCUCUCUAGUCUGUAACUGACGCUGAGGCUCGAAAGCGUGGGGAGCGAACAGGAUUAGAUACCCUGGUAGUCCACGCCGUAAACGAUGAGUGCUAGGUGUUGGAUCCUUUCCGGGAUUCAGUGCCGCAGCUAACGCAUUAAGCACUCCGCCUGGGGAGUACGACCGCAAGGUUGAAACUCAAAGGAAUUGACGGGGGCCCGCAC